UACGUAGGGCGCAAGCGUUGUCCGGAAUUAUUGGGCGUAAAGAGCUCGUAGGCGGUCUGUCACGUCGGAUAUGAAAGCCCGGGGCUUAACCCCGGGUCUGCAUUCGAUACGGGCAGACUAGAGUGUGGUAGGGGAGAUCGGAAUUCCUGGUGUAGCGGUGAAAUGCGCAGAUAUCAGGAGGAACACCGGUGGCGAAGGCGGAUCUCUGGGCCUUACCUGACGCUCAGGCGCGAAAGCUAGGGGAGCGAACUGG
rnacentral:rRNA from 1 species